rnacentral:lncRNA from 1 species
AUAGUGGGCGGGUAUUCUUAUGGAAGCACGGAGCCCUCCGUGCUUCCAAGUUGUUUUCGAUGUUCGGACUUUCGAAUCGACGAUCGGCUCCGUUAGAGUUGAUUUAGAGUAUUUGAAGUACCUAGAAAAUAAAUUUUGUGAUUUUUCGAUAUCAUUUGCCUAGUGAUCGAAGGGUUUCAAAAUCAAUAAUUUUAAUGGUCGUGGUGAACCGAUUGCAAGUUUAACGGUGUAGAAAUAUCCAAAUCACAUAAAAUUUUGAUAGAAAAUUCUUUAUA